UGAUACUUGGGUUGAAUUGCAGAAUCCCGUGAACCAUCAAGUCUUUGAACGCAAGUUGCGCCCGAGGGACCCUCCCGAGGGCACGCCUGCCUGGGCGUAAGAAGCCCAUCAACGCUCGACCACCUUCCCGUGAUCGACGCGGACAAUGGCUCUCCGAGCCGCGAGCGGCGCGGCGGGCCUAAGUGCACGGCCGCCGGAUGGGGAUGGGAGCGGCGAGUGGUGGGCUGCUGCGCACGCCGACCCCCGUCCCCACGCCGGCGCUCUGGACCCCCAACGAGGAGCAUGUCUCAUGUCUCCGGAUCGAUACCCCAGGUCAGGCGGRGCUACCCGCUGAGUUUAAGCAUAUCAAUAAGCGGAGGAA
rnacentral:rRNA from 1 species